GAAACCUUCAGUUGCUCUCUAGAGAACCCAUGGAGAAGAUCUAGAGGAAUGAAAGCUGCAGAAAUGUCAAGGCUUCUGCUAGAUGUCACACAGACAGCAAACUGAGCUACAGUAAUUUUAACUUUCUAUAGUCACUGGGACCUAAAUGCAAUUAUUCUAUUCAUCUCAGUCCCACCAAUAGGGCAUUGGCUAUUAAAGUUCUUCAAAUGCAAUUCUAGUCAAAAUCAGGAUGCCUUUAUUUUCAGCAUUAAUGAUGUUUUAAUUUAAAAAAUACUGGAGGACAUCCCACUUAACUGCAAGUUGCACUGAAACAAUUUUCAUGCUCUAAUUCCUCUUCUCUUGCCUUUGUAGACUGUAGGCUCUUCAGAGUGCUUCCUUCUUUGCACAGUGCCUAGCACAAUCUUCUCUGAUCUCAGCUGGAGCCUGUAGUUGCUGCUGUAAGACUGUUAAUAGUAAAUGACACAUCUGGGCCUGCUCCUGGAGUUGCUGAACAUCCCAAAUCCCUCCUGCCUUGACUUCAAUGAGUCUGGAGUCAGCAAGAUUCCUAUUGUAUUAUGGAUGCAUAAGGACUUCAGGAUCUGGCCCAACCAUGUCCCCUUCUCUCUUCUCUCCCCCCCUCCUCUCCCCACAAUGUGUGGUCUAGGCUUAUACCUUACAAUUAUUUAUUCUUGGAGUUCCAAGAUCUUUUUAUCAGCAAGCUUCCACUCUGCUUCUUCUGACAGAUUGGUGCACACCCUCUGAAAUUAGCGACAAGUGCCCAUUCUGCUAAAACAAGUUCAGAUGACCAGUUGCUUAGAAUUCUAUCAGGCUUUAAUUCUGCUGGAUUUUAAGCAAGCGUUUUUCCCCUCCUUUCCAGAAAUCGGU